AAACUUUCAACAACGGAUCUCUUGGUUCUGGCAUCGAUGAAGAACGCAGCGAAAUGCGAUAAGUAAUGUGAAUUGCAGAAUUCAGUGAAUCAUCGAAUCUUUGAACGCACAUUGCGCCCGCUGGAAUUCCAGCGGGCAUGCCUGUUCGAGCGUCAUUUCAACCCUCAAGCCUGGC
rnacentral:rRNA from 1 species